GACGAACGCUGGCGGCGGGCUUAACACAUGCAAGUCGAACGGAAAGGCCCUGCUUUUGUGGUGUGCUCGAGUGGCGAACGGGUGAGUAACACGUGAGUAACCUGCCCUAGACUUUGGGAUAACUUCAGGAAACUGGGGCUAAUACCGUAUAGCAGCUGCUGCUCCAUGGUGGGGGUUGGAAAUUUGCGGCGGUUGGGAAUGGACGCGCGGCUUAUCAGCUUGUUGGUGGGGUAGUGGCUUACCAAGGCUUUGACGGGUAGCCGGCCUGAGAGGGUGACCGGCUACAGUGGGCCUGAGAUACGGCCCAGACUGAUACGGGAGGCAGGAGUGGAGAAUAUUGCACGAUGGGCGGAGGCCUGAUGCAGCAACGCCGCGUGCGGGAUGACGGCCUUCGGGUAGUAAACGGCUUUCGCCUGUGACGCAGCGUGAGUGACGGUAAUGGGUAAAGAAGCACCGGCUAACUACGU
rnacentral:rRNA from 1 species